rnacentral:rRNA from 1 species
UACGUAGGGUGCAAGCGUUAAUCGGAAUUACUGGGCGUAAAGCGUGCGCAGGCGGUUGUGUAAGACAGAUGUGAAAUCCCCGGGCUCAACCUGGGAACUGCAUUUGUGACUGCACAGCUGGAGUGCGGCAGAGGGGGAUGGAAUUCCGCGUGUAGCAGUGAAAUGCGUAGAUAUCUGAAGGAACAUCAGUGGCGAAAGCGACUUCCUGGACCAAUACUGACGCUCAUGUGCGAAAGCGUGGGGAGCAAACAGG